UACAGAGGUCUCAAGCGUUGUUCGGAUUCAUUGGGCGUAAAGGGUGCGUAGGCGGCGCGGUAAGUCGGGUGUGAAAUCUUGGAGCUUAACUCCGAAACUGCAUUCGAUACUGCCGUGCUUGAGGACUGGAGAGGAGACUGGAAUUUACGGUGUAGCGGUGAAAUGCGUAGAUAUCGUAAGGAACACCGGUGGCGAAGGCGGGUCUCUGGGCAGUAACUGACGCUGAGGAGCGAAAGCGUGGGGAGCGAACAGG
rnacentral:rRNA from 1 species